GGAAAUUAGAAGAUUCAAGCC
rnacentral:siRNA from 1 species